UUUAUUUUAGCAAAGUUUUCCCCAAAUUUUCAUCAUGAAGCUGUUAAUUUUACUCGCCCUCUUCGGUAUGCUCGCUGUUAUAAACUGUCAAGAUGAUGGAGUUGUCGUAGAAGGUGAAGAUGUAGAAGGUGAUGAAGUAGAAGGUGAUGAAGUAGAAGGUGAUGAAGAAGAAGGUGAUGAAGAAGAAGGUGACGACGAUAGUGGUGCCACAUCAAUGCAGAUGGCCCUUCUUGCACUUGUGCCCAUCGCUGCCCAACUUUUCUAGAGUACCUUCACUGAUCCCGAUUAAGUUUUACGACGUUUUAACGUCUCAAACUAUGGUUAAGAUUUAGGGACGUGAUUUUGUUCAUGUUUUUGGUUAAUUGUUUCAUUUUUCGUAGCUCCUAUUUGAUAGUGCACCAGUUCUUAUUGUUUUGAUUCGGAUUUUAAUGUUUGCGCUAAUAGCUGUCAGCUUUAGAUUUAAAAA